AUGGCGGCGGUGGCGGCGAUGCGUUGCGGGAGCGGGAGCGGGAGCGACGGCGGCGGCGGCGGCUACGACAAGGGCGGGAUGGACUCGGGCAAGUACGUGCGGUACACGCCGGAGCAGGUGGAGGCGCUGGAGCGGGUGUACGCCGAGUGCCCCAAGCCGACCUCCACGCGCAGGCAGCAGCUGCUCCGCGAGUGCCCCAUUCUGUCCAACAUCGAGCCCAGGCAGAUCAAGGUCUGGUUCCAGAACCGAAGGUGCCGUGAUAAGCAGCGGAAGGAGUCUUCGAGGCUUCAGGCCGUGAACAGAAAACUGAGCGCCAUGAACAAGCUCCUCAUGGAAGAGAAUGAGCGUCUCCAGAAGCAGGUCUCCCAGUUGGUUCAUGAGAAUGCAUACAUGAAGCAGCAGCUGCAGAAUCCUUCGUUGGCCAAUGAUACAAGUUGUGAGUCAAAUGUGACCACUCCAAACCCUCUAAGGGAUGCAAGUAACCCAGCUGGACUCCUUGCAAUUGCGGAGGAGACAUUGACAGAGUUCCUCUCAAAGGCUACAGGAACUGCUGUUGAUUGGGUCCCGAUGCCUGGGAUGAAGCCUGGUCCGGAUUCGUUUGGUAUUGUUGCCGUUUCACAUGGUUGCCGAGGUGUCGCUGCCCGUGCCUGUGGUCUGGUGAAUCUAGAACCAACAAAGAUUGUGGAGAUCUUGAAAGACCGCCCAUCUUGGUUCCGUGAUUGUCGGAGUCUUGAAGUUUUUACGAUGCUUCCAGCUGGAAACGGUGGGACCAUUGAACUUGUUUACAUGCAGAUGUAUGCUCCUACCACUUUAGUUCCUGCACGUGAUUUUUGGACGCUGAGAUACACAACUACAAUGGAAGAUGGGAGUCUUGUGGUUUGUGAGAGAUCUUUGAGUGGUUCAGGAGGUGGUCCAAGUACUGCCUCAGCACAGCAAUUUGUAAGGGCAGAGAUGCUUCCUAGUGGCUAUUUAGUUCGGCCAUGCGACGGCGGGGGUUCAAUUGUGCAUAUAGUGGAUCAUCUGGACCUUGAGGCUUGGAGUGUUCCAGAAGUGCUUCGCCCGCUCUAUGAGUCUUCUAGGGUAGUUGCUCAGAAAAUGACUACUGCGGCAUUACGACACAUCAGACAGAUUGCUCAAGAAACUAGUGGGGAGGUUGUAUAUGCUCUAGGGAGGCAACCUGCUGUUCUGCGGACAUUUAGUCAGAGGCUGAGUAGAGGAUUUAAUGAUGCUAUAAGUGGCUUCAAUGAUGAUGGUUGGUCUGUAAUGGCUGGAGACGGCAUUGAAGAUGUGAUUAUUGCUUGCAACUCAAAAAAGAUUAGAAGCAAUAACACUGCUCCCAAUGCGUUUAUAGCUCCUGGAGGUGUUAUAUGUGCUAAAGCAUCAAUGUUACUGCAGAGUGUUCCACCAGCAGUACUGGUUCGGUUUCUGAGGGAACAUCGGUCUGAAUGGGCUGAUUAUAACUUUGAUGCAUAUUCGGCUUCAGCGCUGAAAUCAAGCUCAUGCUCACUUCCUGGGUUGCGUCCCAUGAGAUUUUCUGGGAGCCAGAUCAUCAUGCCACUUGCUCACACAGUGGAGAAUGAGGAGAUUCUAGAAGUUGUUCGUCUUGAAGGGCAAGCGCUCGAUGAGGGUCUUUUAUCAAGAGAUAUCCACCUGCUUCAGUUUUGCACUGGACUAGACGAGAAAUCAAUGGGAUCCUGCUUCCAACUUGUCUUUGCACCAAUUGAUGAGCUUUUCCCUGAUGAUGCUCCAUUAAUAUCUUCAGGCUUUCGUGUUAUACCACUGGACAUGAAAACAGAUGGUGCACCCGCCGGUAGAACACUAGAUUUGGCCUCUAGCCUUGAAGCUGGUUCAACUACACUGCAAGCCUCAGGCGGUGCGGAUGAUUGUAAUCUACGAUCAGUGCUGACAAUUGCCUUUCAAUUCCCUUACGAGAUGCAUCUCCAAGAUAGUGUUGCAACUAUGGCCCGGCAGUAUGUCCGCAGCAUUGUCUCCGCCGUUCAGAGAGUGUCGAUGGCUAUCUCUCCCUCUCGAUCUGGCUUGAAUGCUGAACAUAAGAUAAUUUCUGGCUUCCCUGAAGCUGCAACACUAGCUCGCUGGAUAUGCCAAAGUUACCGGUUCCAUCUGGGGGUCGAGUUAUUUAGACAGGCAGAUGAAGCUGGGGAAUCUUUAUUGAGAAUGCUUUGGGAUCAUGAAGAUGCUAUUUUGUGCUGUUCUUUCAAGGAAAAGCCUGUAUUUACGUUUGCAAACGAGAUGGGAAUUAACAUGUUGGAAACAUCUUUCGUUGCCCUUCAAGAUCUCUCGUUGGACAAGAUAUUUGAUGAAGCUGGUAGAAAGGCACUAUACUCCGAGAUCCCAAAGUUGAUGGAGCAGGGCUUUGUUUACCUGCCAGGUGGUGUGUGCUUGUCUGGGAUGGGCCGCCAUGUCUCAUUUGAGAAUGCUGUAGCAUGGAAAGUAGUUGGUGAGGACAACAACGUGCACUGCCUCGCCUUCUGCUUCGUCAACUGGUCUUUCGUGUGA
rnacentral:rRNA from 1 species